AUUGAACGCUGGCGGCAGGCUUAACACAUGCAAGUCGAGCGGGGUGAUGGUGCUUGCACUAUCACUUAGCGGCGGACGGGUGAGUAACGCUUAGGAAUCUGCCUAUUAGUGGGGGACAACAUCUCGAAAGGGAUGCUAAUACCGCAUACGUCCUACGGGAGAAAGCAGGGGGUCACUUGUGACCUUGCGCUAAUAGAUGAGCCUAAGUCGGAUUAGCUAGUUGGUGGGGUAAAGGCCUACCAAGGCGACGAUCUGUAGCGGGUCUGAGAGGAUGAUCCGCCACACUGGGACUGAGACACGGCCCAGACUCCUACGGGAGGCAGCAGUGGGGAAUAUUGGACAAUGGGGGGAACCCUGAUCCAGCCAUGCCGCGUGUGUGAAGAAGGCCUUAUGGUUGUAAAGCACUUUAAGCGAGGAGGAGGCUCUUUUGGUUAAUACCCAAGAUGAGUGGACGUUACUCGCAGAAUAAGCACCGGCUAACUCUGUGCCAGCCGCCGCAGUAA
rnacentral:rRNA from 1 species